AGUUAAUGAUCUUGAU
rnacentral:tRNA from 1 species